rnacentral:rRNA from 1 species
AGGACGAACGCUGGCGGCGCGCCUAACACAUGCAAGUCGAGCGAGAACCAGGGCUUGCCCUGGGGAAAGCGGCGAACGGGUGCGUAACACGUGAGCAACCUGCCCCAAAGACCGGGACAACCCGAGGAAACUCGGACUAAUACCGGAUGCCCUCACCGGGCCGCAUGGUCUGGUGAGGAAAUGGAUUCCGCUUUGGGAUGGGCUCGCGGUCUAUCAGCUUGUUGGUGGGGUAACGGCCUACCAAGGCGACGACGGAUAGCUGGUCUGAGAGGACGAUCAGCCACACUGGGACUGAGACACGGCCCAGACUCCUACGGGAGGCAGCAGUGGGGAAUCUUGCGCAAUGGGGGAAACCCUGACGCAGCGACGCCGCGUGCGGGAUGAAGGCCUUCGGGUUGUAAACCGCUUUCAGCAGGGACGAAAUUGACGGUACCUGCAGAGAAGGCCGGCCAACUACGCGCCAGCAGCCGC